rnacentral:rRNA from 1 species
AUUGAACGCUGGCGGCAUGCCUUACACAUGCAAGUCGAACGGUAACAGGUCUUCGGAUGCUGACGAGCGGCGAACGGGUGAGUAAUACAUCGGAACGUGCCUAGUAGUGGGGGAUAACUACUCGAAAGAGUGGCUAAUAUCGCAUGAGAUCUACGGAUGAAAGCAGGGGAUCGCAAGACCUUGUGCUACUAGAGCGGCCGAUGGCAGAUUAGGUAGUUGGUGGGAUAAAAGCUUACCAAGCCGACGAUCUGUAGCUGGUCUGAGAGGACGAUCAGCCACACUGGGACUGAGACACGGCCCAGACUCCUACGGGAGGCAGCAGUGGGGAAUUUUGGACAAUGGGCGAAAGCCUGAUCCAGCAAUGCCGCGUGCAGGAUGAAGGCCUUCGGGUUGUAAACUGCUUUUGUACGGAACGAAAAGCCCCGGGUUAAUACCCUGGGGUCAUGACGGUACCGUAAGAAUAAGCACCGGCUAACUACGUGCCAGCCGCCGCAGUAA